rnacentral:lncRNA from 1 species
CUGUCCCUGUAGGGGUCCCUAUCCCUAUGGUGUCCCUCUGGUGUCCCUAUGGUGCCCCUGUCCCUAUGAUGCUCCCGUCCCUAUGAGAUCCCUAUGGUGCCCCUGUCCCUACGGCACCCCCGUCCCUCUGGUGUCCCUCUGGUGUCCCUGUCCCUAUGGUGCCCCUGUCCCUAUAAGGGUCCCUCUGGUGUCCCUAUGAUGUCCCUGUUCCUCUGGUCCCCCUGUCCCUAUGAUGCCCCGUCCCUGUGGGGUCCCCGUCCCUCUGGGUCCCCCUGGUGUCCCUCCGGCUCCCCCGUCCCUGUGGUCCCCGGCCGCCCCCAACCCCCGCCGUCCCGCAGCGCUCGUCGCGGCGCUCGCUGUUCGUGGCGGCGGCGGCGCGGCACCAGCAGUUGUACCGCCUGGCCAUGACGGGCGCCGGCAUCGACCGCCACCUCUUCUGCCUCUACGUGGCGUCGCGGUACCUCGGCGUGCGGUCCGCCUUCCUCGAUCACGUGAGCGGCGGGGGGGGCGGGGGGGCGAUGGGGGGUGAUGGGGGUGGGGGGGGAUGG